AUUGAACGCUGGCGGCAGGCUUAACACAUGCAAGUCGAGCGGGGUGAUGGUGCUUGCACUAUCACUUAGCGGCGGACGGGUGAGUAAUGCUUAGGAAUCUGCCUAUUAGUUGGGGACAACAUCUCGAAAGGGAUGCUAAUACCGCAUACGUCCUACGGGAGAAAGCAGGGGAUCACUUGUGACCUUGCGCUAAUAGAUGAGCCUAAGUCGGAUUAGCUAGUUGGUGGGGUAAAGGCCUACCAAGGCGACGAUCUGUAGCGGGUCUGGGAGGAGGAUCGGCCGCACUGGGACUGAGAAACGGCACAGCCUCCUACGGGAUGCAGCAGUGGGGAAUAUUGGACAAUGGGGGGAACCCUGAUCCAGCCAUGCCGCGUGUGUGAAGAAGGCCUUAUGGUUGUAAAGCACUUUAAGCGAGGAGGAGGCUCUUUUGGUUAAUACCCAAGAUGAGUGGACGUUACUCGCAGAAUAAGCACCGGCUAACUCUGUGCCAGCCGCCGCCGUAA
rnacentral:rRNA from 1 species